rnacentral:sRNA from 1 species
CACACAUACAAACACACACACAUGCACACUGACACACAUAGACAACACACACACACUCACCAAUCUAAAACCUAGCAACAGAUAAAUAAAGCCUGGGAUACACAGAGGCAGUGCUCAUGUGAACGUUAGUUCCUAACUUCGUCCAGACUCUAGGAUACAGUUUCACAGAAGGGAAUUUAAAUAGGUAGUAGACAGUGGUCCCUACUGACAGUCCAGGAAGGGUUUGUAUGGAAAUAGGCACAGUGAUCAUCACUUCUGUCCCUGGAUAGAAGGCAACUGUUGUUCCUCUCUGGACAUUAGCCCCACGUGGCUUUCACUGGGUCUCUAUCACUUAAGCACUUGCCUCCUGCUUCCCUUCUUAGGCACCGUGAUUAGUGGGGUUAAUCCUAGACCAACGUUAGGUUAGGACACACUCGCUUGCUUACACGUUCGUCUGCUUUGGGAGCCAAGGUCUUAAAGAUUCAUUUUGUCCAUUGUAUCCCCAGCACACGGUGGCGAACUCAGAUGUCAGCGAAGAUUUUAAAACCCACUGUUAAGGGAGUAAGAGGGUUUUAAAGAAAUGUGAAGCCCCUCUUCCCUUUUACCUAGAGACAAAGAUCCUUCCUUGGCUUGAGAGCUGGGGGUUUUCUUCCCCAAUCUUGAGUUUUCAAGCACUGGGCACCAGAAAUCAGGUUGCUGCCUAAAAAAAAUCCUCACUGCUAUUGAGGUCACGGUGACCCGGACAGGACUUGGAGUCCCUGCUCACCCAUUCAAUCACUCCUGCAGGGCCUGACACCCAGUAAAUGACCUGUACGUAUUUGAUUUUACAAAAAAGCACCCCCGCCCCCGAAACAAGAGCCAGGAUGUUCCUAGGCCAGGAAAUCCGUUCCUCUGCCUGCGUCCCAUCCUCCUCCAUGCGCCUCCAUUUGCUGAACUCACAGUGGAUUCGGAGGCCAGGAAAGCGACACCUGCCGGCGGAUGGCGGAAGUGCGGCUCACCGGAGCCGGCAUCCUGCAGGCCAGGCAGAAACGGGCCCUGGGCCAGGGCGUCUGCACGUGGUUUGCCUGAGCAAGCCGGUUCUUGAUUCGGUUGCUCUGAGCGCAGCACGGUCUCCUUCUUUGAAAGAUCGUCCAAAACUUCUCCAUCAGGCAUGUGUAGAGGAGCCUACAUGUCUUCAGGUUUUGGCCCUGGGUGACAUCUUCAGUCAGCCUGCUCCCCUCUCCCCUCUGGUGUGCCCAGUCUCUAGAUACCUCCUGCUCGGUGAAUUCCAUUAAUUUUAACUCUGCCAAAUGAAUGGAGUCCCCUUUCCUGGUGCAUUAGAACCCUCCCCGUGCUUCCUGUUCUGACUUCUAGUAGCAGAAGUGGGUGGGAGCAGAAGGGCCAUGAAAUUCAAGGCCAGUCUGGGUUGGUUAUCUUGCCUCAAAAACAAAGAGCGAAACCAAAAAAGAACACACGCUUGUUUUUCCGCCAUCACUGGUAAUUUUUUCAAAGCCAGAUCGUCCUCUGGUAAGCUUUUGUCAGCCCCUUGCUUCCUGCAGGAGCUAGUGUGUGGUAGCCGUGCCAUUCACAGAGGCUACUACAAUUCAGCAAAAACACACCACGUCUAAUUUAUUACUUGUGCGGGCUAUGCGGGUCUAGCCUCAGCUUAUAAUCACCCUCUUUCAUUGUCACCAAGAGCUGGAAGGGAAGCUUUCUGGAGAAAGGCUGGAAGACCCGAGCCGUCUAUCUAGAGCUGCUGGUUUGGGACUUGUCCCUUUAAGGAAGGGAGAGACUUGAGUUCUUGCAAGGCUGUCAAGCUCUUCUAAGGUGUCACCUGCUGUCUAGGUGGACGGGUAGAGAAGCCAGGCUGCUUCUCUGCAGAUCAGAAGGCUACAACUCUGAAAUCUGGCAGCUCUGUGCCAAUGACUGUCUGUGUGGCUGAACUCAGGCCUCACACGAGAGAUGUCUGCUCUCACAUUGUUCAAGAUGAGCCUACUUAAGAAAACAACUCAAGUCAAAAGAAAUCUUGACUUCCGAAGCUUAGCUGGAAACACCUCCAGUCCAUGUGUGAGGCAGCCUUUUCUUGUCUGCUUCAGUCUCAAUACUGACACCCCCGCCCCAAUUCAGUUUGAGGGAGAGAGUACUUAUUUCUUUCUGGGUUCUAAACUAAAUACUUGAAGCACUCAUUGGGAGCUCCAGAGGCAUGUCCGGCCUGGAGCUGUGGUAUCUCCCCACAGCACAUCUCCCACCCUAUGUCAGCACAAGGGCACCCUUGCCAGUCCUGACUGACUCUGAAGGAAUCCAUGUAGAGUGCCGUGACACUGGGUCGUUUGCAGUCAUCUGUCCAGAACCCUAGUACCUUGCAGCCCCUCUCUCCUUAAUGGCUUGGCUCCGCCCAAUCCCCGCCCCGUUUCCUACCACCAAUCAGCUUAAGUCCUUCACCCUUCCGUUGUUACUGUGUAUCUACAAGUCGAACUGACUGCCACUAGCUUAAUUGGUGUCUGUUGUGUACACCACUGGUCCCUUAGAUUCCAAGAGUUUGGGUGAGCAUUAUAGUUACUUUGGAAUAACUUUCAGGGGGAGCCUGUGAAAGGUAAUUAUAGGCAGCCUGGAAAUUCCCAGAAAGCCUUGGCUUUGAAAUAGUCGGGAUUUGCUUCUUUUUUUUUCGGAGCUGGGGACCGAACCCAGGGCCUUGCGGUUGCUAGGCAAGCACUCUACCACUGAGCCAAAUCCCCCGGGAUUUGCUUCUUAUCUACGUACAUGCCGUGCACUUUACGUUAGAAGCUCUCGGUUUGGGGAUGUGGACCACGGUCAUCGUAAUGAUAACAGAAGCAGCGUGUGAGCCGCUUGUCAUGUGCCAAACACAAGGGUUACAGGGACAUACUUUCAGGACAGUUGUGGUAGGCAGGGGUUGGAUGCAGCUCUGUUUAUGGCUUCCUCAUCUGUGAGCUCAGCCGAGAUCUGACCUGGUGUCCUGGUUUGCUUUCCGUGACUCUGAUAAACACCAGUGGGGGAGGCAACCUGGGAAGGAGAGGGCUGGUUUUGACUUAGAGCAACAGUUCUCCGUCUGUAUGUCACAACCCCUUUGGGGUUGAAAGGACCCUUUCACGGGGGUGGGGGGGGUGGUCAUGUAAGACAAUGGGAAAACGCACACACUGACGUUACAAUUCAUAGCAGCAGCAAAAUUACGGUUAUCGCAAAGCAAUAAAAUAAUUUUCUGGUUGGGAGGGGGGUGUCACCACAACACGAGCAACUGCAUUAAAGCAUCAUGCAGCAUUAGGAAGAUUAAGAACCACUGGCUUAGAGGUUAUUUAUAGUCCAUUACGUCAGGAAUCUGGAGGCAGGUCCAGACGCAGGGACCAUGGAUGAAUGCUGCUUCUGGCUCACUCAGCUUUGAGAACCAGGUCCACCCGCCUAACACUAGGCUGGACCCUCCUACAUUCAACAGGAAAAAAAAAAAUCCCACAGGGCAAUCCGACUGAGGUAAUUCCUCAGUUGAGGUUCCCUCAAUUAGUUGUGUCAAUAUGUGUGUCAAAUUGAUACCCCAGGAAGGUAGAAGCUGGAGAUGGAUCGGGCUGUGCUGGACAGGAGCAAUAGACAUCUCCUGUAUCUGACCGCUUCUUAGUUUACGAAGGAAUCCUGGAGACUGAUCACUGAUAGGAACAGUGCUCCAAGGCCAAACUUAUCCCUAUCACCCACCAAUCCAUUGUCCAGGGAAGCCUGUGGAAUGCUUGUGGCUUCCUGCCUACCCUUUCUCCUUAUGCCUCCUCAAAUCUUCCUCCCUCACAUUCCCGGCCCAGCUCUCAUGAUUACUCUUCUUCCGGAUUUUUCAGAACAUUCUAGAAAAUCUAUGAAGAGACGAGAAAAACAUGACCCCCCAGCAGAACAUGACCGGUUCUUCUCAAACGGAUGACCCCUCACCCAUGGCAGCAGCAGGUACAGGCCAUAGCUGCGGCUGACCUUGUACCUCCCCUCUUACACACUCCCAGUGUUUCUUGUCAGCAAAUCUGUCCAAUCGCCAAAAGGCCGAGGAGGGUGGGGGAUGGGCCCACGAAAGCUGUGGGUACCACAAAACCAAGGCUAAAGGACAAGAAGAUGGCAUCGUGGGUUUUUCAUCUCCAAGGACAUCUCAGGGGUCCUCUUCAAAGAACUCGCCAUUCCCAAACAGGCCAAAGGCUGUUUGAGAUGACCAGAGGUUAGCAAUAUUAUGCGGUAGAAUAUUAAUGAUAUGCCCCUUAGUGUGCUGAUGUAUUAUGCGGACAGUUGAGUGGCAUCGAGAACGUCCACACUGCUUGCUGACCACCUGGUCUCCAGAGCCUUCUCGUCUCUCCAGUGAAGCUUCUUACCCACCAAACACUGGCUUCUCUCCUUGCUUCCCCUCCCUAAGCCUCCAGUAACCGUGUUCUCCUCUAGGCCCCUCAUAUAGGGAGAUCUGAAGAGCAACCACAGGUAGUGAUAGCAUCCAGUUACUUAGCGCGGUGUCUAGACUUUCCCAUGCUGUGCCGGAAUCUUCUUCCUCGUCGACUUUGUGUUAGUUUUCUUUCUGUUGUUGUGCUAAAACAAACAAACAAAAAACCCAACCAACCAACCAAAUAAACAAACCCACAAACAAAAGCAA